UUCCGGUUGAUCCUGCCAGAGGCCAUUGCUAUCGGAGUUCGACUUAGCCAUGCUAGUCGCACGGGUUCAGACCCGUGGCAAAUAGCUCAGUAACACGUGGUCAAACUGCCCUACAGAUCGGGAUAACCUCGGGAAACUGAGGCUAAUCCCGAAUAGGACUUUCAGGCUGGAGUGCCGAGAGUCUCAAACGCUACGGCGCUGUAGGAUGUGGCUGCGGCCGAUUAGGUAGACGGUGGGGUAACGGCCCACCGUGCCGAUAAUCGGUACAGGUUGUGAGAGCAAGAGCCUGGAGACGGAAUCUGAGACAAGAUUCCGGGCCCUACGGGGCGCAGCAGGCGCGAAACCUUUACACUGCACGACAGUGCGAUAGGGGAACUCCGAGUGCGAGGGCAUACAACGCCCUCGCUUUUCUACACCGUAAGGUGGUGUAGGAACAAGUGUUGGGCAAGACCGGUGCCAGCCGCCGCGGUAAUACCGGCAGCACGAGUGAUGGCCGAUUUUAUUGGGCCUAAAGCGUCCGUAGCUGGCCGUUCAAGUCUGUCGGGAAAUCCAGUGGCUCAACCACUGGGCUGCCGGCGGAAACUGGACGGCUUGGGACCGGAAGAUCCGAGGGGUACGUUCGGGGUAGGAGUGAAAUCCUGUAAUCCUGAACGGACCACCGAUGGCGAAAGCACCUCGGAAGCACGGAUCCGACAGUGAGGGACGAAAGCUUGGGUCUCGAACCGGAUUAGAUACCCGGGUAGUCCAAGCUGUAAACGAUGCUCGCUCGGUCUGGCGCAGCUACGAGCCUGUGCUGUGCCACAGUGAAGACGUAAGCGAGCCGCCUGGGAAGUACGUCCGCAAGGAUGAAACUUAAGGAAUUGGCGGGG
rnacentral:rRNA from 1 species